rnacentral:rRNA from 1 species
GUCUACAGCCAUGACACCCUGAACAAGCCCGAUGUCUGAUCUUGGAAGCUAAGCAGGGUCAGGCCUGGUUAGUACUUGGAUGGGAGACCACCUAGGAAGACCAGGUGCUGUGGGCA